AACGAACGCUGGCGGCGCGCCUAACACAUGCAAGUCGAACGAGAAGGCGUAGCAAUACGCUUGUAAAGUGGCGAACGGGUGAGGAAUACGUGGGUAACCUACCCUCGAGUGGGGAAUAACCAACCGAAAGGUUGGCUAAUGCCGCGUACGCUUCCAUCUCUUCGGAGGUGGAAGGAAAGCUGUACCGUGGGUACAGCGCUCAAGGAUGGGCUCACGUCCUAUCAGCUUGUUGGUAGGGUAACGGCCACCAAGGCAACGACGGGUAGCUGGUCUGAGAGGACGAUCAGCCACACUGGCACUGCGACACGGGCCAGACUCCUACGGGAGGCAGCAGUGAGGAAUAUUGCGCAAUGGGCGAAAGCCUGACGCAGCGACGCCGCGU
rnacentral:rRNA from 1 species